UGUAAUUAUACUGUCAUUUUUUUAAAAAAAAAAUGCAAAUGAAUCCUAAAUAAUUUAUUAAAUUUUUUUAAAAAAAAAUCCACUCUUUUUCCUCCUCCACUACCACAAAACCAAUCCCAAUCUCCCCAAUAUAUUUAGAGGAAAUUACGCAGCUACAGCUACUAAAAGAUCACAUUUCAUAUUCCAGGGCUGAAGUUUAUUUGUGCAGUUUUCAGGUUGGAAAUAUUUAACCACCCAUCCACUACAAAACCUAAUCCUCAUCCUCGUAUCUCUUGACUGUCUUCUCCCAAUUCUUAACAGUAUUAGCGCCACCAUCUCAUCGCCAACACUACCACCACCUCGCUGUCGUUGAGCGAUGGUUGGUCAUCUCUAUCCCCGUAUCUAUUCUCUUCUCCCAAUUCUCAACAACGGUAGCAGCGCGCCAUAAAAGAAAAUCUCCCGUGUGACGGCGUCACCACCAUCUCGCCGCCCUACAUAGCAAUGUUAUUGAAGUCGUAGAGCAAUUUUGGGUGGUUUGGGACAAAUAGUUGUUUAGAUCUGAGAUGAGAUCUAUGUUUUGGUUUUGAAUGUAGCGGAUUUGACGAUGAAUUGGUGGCAACUAUUGUGGUUGAUGGGUGGCGAUGGUGGUGAAAUGGGAGUUGGAAGCUGCUUUGGAAGUGCAGUAUCUGGAUUGGGGAGACGAUGGUGCACUAGUAGCGAUGACAAGGGUGGAGAUGGUAAGGUGUUGCUGUUUACAGUAGCCAUGAAUGAAUGUUGGUUGGAAACGAUGGUUAUGGUGUUGGAGAUGGUGAAGUGGCAAAGACGUUGGUGAUGGCUUUUGUAGGGUGUUGGUGGAUCUAUAUCCGUUUUGUUUGUGGUGAGGUAAUGUUAGUUGCGGUGUUUGAAAUGAUGGGGUUGUCGGAGAUGGUGGUGGUGGUUUUGGCAAUAGCGAUUUUGAUAGCAAUGCGACUGGUGGUAGUGGUGAGGUGGUAGUCAUAGAUGAUUUAAUUGUUUGUUACCAAGAAAUUGACAUAUGUGAUCAAUCAUUUAGUUAUACGUGACCAAUUAUUUAGUGUGACCUAAAAAUUUAAUAAUCCGUGACCAAAUGAUUUGGACUCGAAAUAAUCUAUGACCCAUAAAUUUUUGACUUGUGACUUUGAAAUAAAUUGUGACCUACAAAUUUUUAGAUUUGUGACAUCGAAAAAAUUUAUGACCAAUUAAUUUGAUGAUAUGUGAUCACUAAAUGAAUUUGUGAUCUAUAAUUUUGAAUAUGUGAUCAUUAAUUGUGUAGCUGUAACUUUAUUAUCAUUAUUUAAUAAAUAUUUUUAAUUAAUUAGUUAAAACCUGAUUUUUGCAUUUAUGAAACUUGUAAUCUAAAUUUUGAAUUAUGCAUAGUUAAAAUUUUGAUUUAUGAACUCUUCCCAUAUAUUUACACCUCCUACCUGCUAAUUGUUGAAAUGUCACCAUCUAUAAACAUGCGUAGCCUUCUUCUCCACAGUCAAAUAGGAUCAAAUCUUUGUCGAUGAACUCAUUUACCGUAGUCCCAAUAGCAUCCACCAUUGUAAUGUCCUGCAGUAAGGUGAAGAUCGGGAUAGUUCGAUAGGCAAAGAUGAAGCCAAGUUUGGAAAGUUAAACCUAUCGUUUUAACCAUAGUUAUUAAACCUGACCCGAUCAAGGCACUGGAUAUCGGGUUACUAGUCGAACCGGUAAGUUAGUGGUUAGACCGGUAGGUUAAUGCUUAAUAAUUAUAAAAUAUUUUUUUAAAAUAUAAAGUUUUUCUUCUAGAUAAAAUAAAAAAAUUUAAAUUAUCUAUCAUUAAUUAUUUAUAUAUUUAUAUAUUAUUUUGUUAAAUAUUCAACUCAUUUUAAUUAAAAUAAUUAUUAUAAUCUUUUAAAAAUAUUUUUAACAAACUAUAAAUGAUUUAAAUAUACAUAUUUACUGCAAAUAUAAAACAAGAAACAAUUGAUCUCUAGUAGUUAUAUGGUACUUAUUUUACCUAGAGGUCCAAGGUUCAAAUCUUUUAAAAGCAAAAAAAUUUAUAGAUAGGCUUUUAAACUUGGUCAAACCAGUCAACCGAUCGAGUUAAUAUAAAAAUUGCCCGGUUAACUAGGUCAACUCAAUUUUGGCCGAGUCAAUUGCAUUUCUAUGAAAAUGUUCUACCCGGCUCAAUCAAGGGCCCGGGUCACCGGUUCUUCGGCCCGACUGGCCAGUCCAAGCUGGGUUUAAUAACUAUGUUCUUAACCUUUGAGAGUUAAUAAAUUAUCAAAUUUUGACCAACUGGGCAUAUGCAAGAUCUGCUUAUAAUAACAAUCUAGAAAAUCCCCAACAAUGCAAUCGCGACAGUUGCCGGUUCCAUUUAAUGGGAUUCCAAGGGGAAUGAUGGAGUGAAGGCUAAGAUAAAGUUGGGUUCAAAAUAGUUAUGGGUUUGCCAUUAUGUGCUUUGGUUCCGGAGGAACAGUUUCGGUUUGCCAUUACUUACUUGGAAAUUUGUUUAAUUUUUAAGUUAAGUGAUUGGUGGUUAGAGAAUAGGCCGUCAUGUACGGUGGAACGGUUCUGGGUGGGCUUCCGAUGACCAUAGAAGAAGUGGUGGUGUUAAAAUUUAUUUAUUUAAAAUAAAUACUAUUAGUUUGUAUUUUGUUCUAGUCUAUAGCCAUUUUGCUUAGUGGUUAGAGUUGUUUAGAAAAUGACUGUUGUGGUAGCUUUUCUUUUGCCUAGUUUAUUGGAGUCAGUUUUUUGUAAUUGCCUAUAUAAAGGCUAUGGGUUAAUAAAUAAAAUGAUCAAUUUCAAUACCAACUCCUCUCAAUUUUCUCUCUCAUGUUCUUCACUUUAUUUGGUGUAGUAGAACAUUAUCAUUUCCAGUGCAGCAAAACACUAUUUUUUCUUUUAUCUGUAGACAGUGGUAUCAGAGCCCAUAACCCACAGUUCUCAGGUUAGAAAGAGAUGGGGAGUAGAGAGACUCGACGAAAGUUCACCAAUGGCUUCCAAAAAUUUUGUAAAGCCAGUCAUUUCGUGGUUUGAUGGUCAUUAUGACCAUUGGAGUAUCUUAUGGAAAACUUCUUAAGAUUUAAGGAGUAUUGGCAUGUUGUUGAACCUGGUACAGCAGCACCUACAACACCUAAUAAUGGCAUGGCAAUUACAUAUGACAAAAAAUAGAGCCGGAGGGGCUGAAGUUGAAAGAUGUAAAGGCAAAAAAUUAUUUGUUCCAGGCCAUUGAUCGAUCUAUCCUUGAAACUAUUCUCAGCAAAAAAAAAAAAAAAAAACUUCUAAGGAUAUUUGGGAUUCAAUAAAGAAAAAUAUCAAGGCUCUUCCAGAGUAAAGUGUGCACAGCUUCAAGCCUUGAGAAGGGAGUUUGAGACUUUACAAAUGAAGGAUGGUGAAUCCAUGACCAUCAUUGUGUAAGGACUAUGGAAAUAGUUGACAAAAUGCGAUUCAAUGGUGAGAAGAUGGACGAUGUUGCCAUCGUUGAGAAGAUAUUGCGUUUUUUGGCUUCAAAGUUUGAUUACGUUGUUUGAUCAAUUGAAGAAUCCAAAGACAUAGAUGUCCUUUCACUUGAUGAACUCCAGAGCUCGUUGUUGGUCCAUGAACAGAAGAUAAAUCAAAAUUUAUCUACAGAAGAGCAAGCUUUAAAGGCUUUUACCUUUAACCAUAUAUUCUUGAGGUAAAGGUGGAGGAAAGGGAGAUCGAGGCAAUAUGGAUGGCAAUUGUAGCAGGCAGCAGCCAAAUGAUCAAAAUAAUGAUAAAUUUCAUGGAAAGGCAGAGGAUGGGAAUUCGACAAAUCCAAGGUAGAAUGCUUUCAAAGUCAUAGAUUCGGUCAUUUUCGUUCCGACUGUAAUACUAAGCUGCUUAAUGACAAAGAAAAGGGAUAGGAAUCAAAUUUUACAGAAAAGAAGGAAAUAGAAACUCUAUUGAUGGUUGGUUAAGUCAAUGAAGAACAUAAGUCAAAUAUGUGGUAUAUCGAUACAAGGUACAGCAACCACAUUUGUGAGAGUAAAUCUUCUUUUUCUUAUCUAAAUGAAGACUUUCGUUCUACGAUGAGUUUUGGUGAUUGUUCUAUUGUUAAGGUAAUGGGAAAGGGUGAAAUUAAUAUUAGAACUAAGAACGAUUUUGUAGAAACAAUUUCCAAUGUCUUUUAUGUUUCUGAUUUGAAAAGUAACCAGUAAAGUGCUAGUUAAUUGCAAGAAAAGGUUAUGUAAUAACUAUCCAACUUGGUGUUUGUGAGAUAUAUAUUCCUUUUAGAGGAGCUAUUGUUGCUAUUCAAAUAAGUUCAAACAGGUUGUUUCCCUUGAAGAUUGAAACUGCUCAACCUUGUUUGAUGGCUGGAAUAAAAAAUCCUUCAUGGCUUUGGUAUUUUCGUUAGAAUAAUACUAUUUACAAUCACUCACUAUUGUAAUCAUCUUAUGUGGCACACAUGUGAUGGUGAGUGAUUUGAUAUAUGUGGCAAGAAGAAAUUAUCAAAUUAAUACAUCAAAUCACAAACCGUAAUGUAGAAUACCAUGUAAGGUGACUAUCGCAGUGAUCGACUAUGAAUAACAUUACUUUUUUCGUUAUGGUAAUUUGAACAUUGGUGGAUUAAGGACAUUUCAAUAGAAAUAUAUGGUGACAUGUCUUCCUCAAAUUGUCACUCCUUGUAAAGUUUGUGAAGAAUGUGUUGUUGGAAAAUAAUACCGUUCUCAAUUUCCUCAAGGAAAGUCAUGGAGAGCAAAAAAAAUGUCUUGAAGCUAGUUCAUUCUGAUAUUUGUGGGUGCCAAUUUACCUUCUUAAUGAUUAUUUUCAAAAAACAUGGGUUUAUUUUUGUAGGAGAAAUCAGAAGCUUUUAGUGCAUUCAAAAGCUUUAAGGCGUGUGUGGAGAAUUAAUCAUAAAGUGUCAUUAAAUCUCGUUGCACUGAUCAUGGUGGAGAAUAUUUCAAAGGAAUUUGAUGUUUUAUUGUGAUAGGCAUGACAUUUGAAGGGAACUCACAGCUGCCUAUCAACAAAAUGGUGUGUUAGAGAGGAAGAAUAGAACCAUCUCAACAUGGUGAGAAGCUUGUUGGCAAGAGAGAAAAUUCCCAAAAAUUUCUAUCCCGAGGUAGUAAAUUGGGGCAUUUAUGUGUUGAACAGAAGUCCUACUUUUUCUGUUCAAAACAUGACACCUGAGGAAGCUUGGAGUGGAUGGAAAUUGAAAAAUGCAUUAUAGGGACUAAAGCAAGCACCAAGAGCUUGGUAUAGUCGUAUAGAUGUUUAUUUCUCAAGAAAAGGGUUUCUUAAAUGUCUUCACGAUCAUAAGCAUUUUACAAAGCUAGGAAAUAAUGAUAAAAUGCUUGUUUAUGUGCCUUUAAGUUGAUGAUUUCAUGUUUGUUUUUAUGAUGAGUUUUGGAGUUGUUUCAUGGUCAUCGAAGAAACAACAAAUUGCAACUUUAUUAACCACAGAAGUUGAAUUUGUUGUAGCAGCCUCAAGCUCUUGUCAAGUUGUUUAGCUAAGGGGGCUAUUGGAACACUUCAAAACCAGCAAAAAGGUCCAACAAUCAUACACUGUGUCAACUAUAAAAAUUUCGGAAAUUUUAGUUUUUGAGAUACCAUUUUUUGCGUGAUCUCUGCAAUGGUUGUAUAGUUAAUUCAAUGUUCUGCAAGAGUGAAGAGCAGGUGGCUGAUAUUAUGACUAAAUCGCUUAAACAAGCAGCGUUUGUAAAGCUUAGAAGAAUGCUGGGAGUACGUUCUUCACAGGAUGUCAUUUUAGAUUCUUGAAUUUCUUCUUAAACUGAUUUCUGCAGUUAUCAGUUUAAGGAAGGGUGUUAGGAUUUAUUUAUUUAAAUUAAUUACUAUUAGUUUGUAUGUUCGACUCUAUAGCUAUUUUGCUUAGUGGUUAGAGUUGUUUAGAAAGUAACUUUUGUGGUAGCUUUUUUUUUUUUGCCUAGUUCAUUAGAGUUAGCUUUUGCCUAUAUAAAGGCUGUGGGUCGAUGAAUAAUAUCAUCAAUUUCAGUACCAACUCCUUUAAAUUUUUUCUCUCAUGUUCUUCACUUUAUUUGGUACAGUAGAACAUUAUCAUUUCCAGUGUUGCAAAACAUUGUUUUUUCUUUUAUCUGUAGUCAGGUGGUGGGAAAGAAUAGAUCGUGGGGGCAUCAACUCUUCUAGACAAGAAAACACCGAUUCUAAUAUGUUUUUUCUUAGCCUCGGG
rnacentral:lncRNA from 1 species